rnacentral:lncRNA from 1 species
AUAUAUAUAGGGUCCGGCUAUUAUACUAUUAUAAGUACGAUCGCUCUCGUACUCGUAAGUUGUUUUCGAUGAUAGAGAUUCCGAACCGACGAUCCACACCAUUAAACGUUAUUUAAAACAUUUAAAACUUCUAGAAAUCAAAUUUUAUAAUUUUUCGACAUUAUUUACCUUACGAUCAAGAGGUCACAAAUUUGACAAUUUUUAACGGUCGGUAUGGGAUACUUGCUAGUUUAACGGUGUAAAAGAAUCGAAAUUUGUUGAAUUUCUGAUAGAAAAUUCUAUUCACUACCUAGAUAAAGAUCAAUAACUCCGAUCUUGAAUUGAAGGAUCCGAUCAUCCCUUUUUAGGACGUCGUUCGAUUUUGACCAUUCAUUUUAUGCCCGCUUGAUGAACUUUAUUAUGAUUUCGAAAAUUUAUGAAAUUUAUUUUCUAGAAGUUUCAAAUACUCUAGAUCAUAACUUAACGGAGUGGAUCGUUGAUUCGGAAGCUCCAUCAUUGAAAACAACUUAUGAGUACGAGGGCUCCAAUACUCAUAAUAGUAUAAUAGCCAUGACCUAUAUAUAUAUAUAUAUAUAUAUAUAU